AGCGAGUCGAGAAACGUAUUUUAAACAAGACGUGGAAUGAGAAAUUUUUCAGAAAAAAAUGCUAUAUUUAGGAAUGACGAAAAGUUAUAUAUAUAGAAAUGACAAGCGCAUUCCAUUCCAUGCAUUCCACACAUUCCUGACAUUCCUAGCAUUCCUGAGGGCGGGUUAGGGUUAGGGUGACUUUUUUGCGCGAUGUACAACUUUAAAACUCCGGUUUUUUCUAAAAAUCGGCAUCUUCGAGUUAGGAAAUCGAUCGCUUUUCCAGUCUUGGACCGACC